AACGUAGGAGGCGAGCGUUAUCCGGAUUCACUGGGCGUAAAGCGCGUGUAGGUGGUUCGUUAAGUUGAAUGUGAAAGCCCCUGGCUCAACUGGGGGAGGCCGUUCAAAACUGGCGGACUUGAGGACAGGAGAGGAGGGUGGAAUUCCCGGUGUAGCGGUGGAAUGCGUAGAGAUCGGGAGGAACACCAGUGGCGAAGGCGGCUCUCUGGUCUGUUUCUGACACUGAGACGCGAAAGCGUGGGUAGCAAACGGG
rnacentral:rRNA from 1 species